GUGCGUAGCUCAGUUGGCUAGAGCAACUGACUCUUAAUCAGUGGGUCCAGGGUUCGAAUCCCUGCG
rnacentral:tRNA from 3 species